rnacentral:rRNA from 1 species
UAACGAAUAUUGGGCAAUGGGCGAAAGCCUGACCCAGCGACGCCGCGUGCGGGAGGAAGUCCCUCGGGAUGUAAACCGCUGUCAGGGGAAAGUAAGGCGCAAGCUUGAACUACCCCAGAGGAAGCAACGGCUAACUUCGUGCCAGCAGCAGCGGUAAUACGAAGGUUGCAAGCGUUGUUCGGAAUCACUGGGCUUAAAGCGCAUGUAGGCGGACCAGAAAGUAGUUUGUGAAAUCCCCAGGCUUAACCGGGGAA